AGAGUUUGAUCAUGGCUCAGAUUGAACGCUGGCGGCAUGCCUUACACAUGCAAGUCGAACGGCAGCACGGGAGCUUGCUCCUGGUGGCGAGUGGCGAACGGGUGAGUAAUACAUCGGAACGUACCCUGAAGUGGGGGAUAACGUAGCGAAAGUUACGCUAAUACCGCAUAUUCUGUGAGCAGGAAAGAGGGGGAUCGCAAGACCUCUUGCUUUAGGAGCGGCCGAUGUCGGAUUAGCUAGUUGGUGAGGUAAAGGCUCACCAAGGCGACGAUCCGUAGCGGGUCUGAGAGGAUGAUCCGCCACACUGGGACUGAGACACGGCCCAGACUCCUACGGGAGGCAGCAGUGGGGAAUUUUGGACAAUGGGCGCAAGCCUGAUCCAGCCAUGCCGCGUGAGUGAAGAAGGCCUUCGGGUUGUAAAGCUCUUUCGGCGGGGAAGAAAUUGCACGGGUUAAUACCCUGUGUAGAUGACGGUACCCGAAUAAGAAGCACCGGCUAACUACGUG
rnacentral:rRNA from 1 species